ACGACGGCGGGAGGCGCCGACACGUGGUCCAUUCCCUUGUCGCCGGGAUCACGCCGAGCCAAUGGCGAGACCGACCCGCUCAGGC
rnacentral:ncRNA from 1 species